AUUGAACGCUGGCGGCAUGCUUUACACAUGCAAGUCGAACGGUAACAGGUUAAGCUGACGAGUGGCGAACGGGUGAGUAAUGCAUCGGAACGUGCCCGGUCGUGGGGGAUAACGCAGCGAAAGCUGCGCUAAUACCGCAUACGAUCUGAGGAUGAAAGCGGGGGACCGUAAGGCCUCGCGCGAUCGGAGCGGCCGAUGUCAGAUUAGGUAGUUGGUGGGGUAAAGGCUCACCAAGCCAACGAUCUGUAGCUGGUCUGAGAGGACGACCAGCCACACUGGGACUGAACCACGGCCACGACUCCUACGGGAGGCAGCAGUGGGGAAUUUUGGACAAUGGGCGAAAGCCUGAUCCAGCAAUGCCGCGUGCAGGAAGAAGGCCUUCGGGUUGUAAACUGCUUUUGUACGGAGCGAAAAGGUCUCCUCUAAUACAGGGGGCUCAUGACGGUACCGUAAGAAUAAGCACCGGCUAACUACGUGCCAGCCGCCGCCGUAA
rnacentral:rRNA from 1 species